rnacentral:lncRNA from 1 species
GACUUGCUUAACUUACAGCCUGAACAUCAUCUUGCUUUGAAGUCCUGAGCAGAGCUGGAGCUUCCUGUCCACUUCACUGGUCCUUUGGGUGUCAUGUUGUCCCAGUCUCACAGCAACAGAAGCUUGGGUGUAGCCCUCAAACACCGUGGAGAGAGUGUCACCUCUACCACACCAUAUGAACCAAUCACUGAUGUGAAAUGUGAACAAAAGACCUGUUAUCUGCCCCUUGAAGCAGGACAUAUGGACGCCUGAUCAAGUCUCCACUCCUAUUCCAUGGUGAAAAAUGACCAGGUCGUCUUCGUACAGCUUCCAGUGCUGGUGUGAAAUUGUGCCACUUUGUGCACUCAUAGCUGAGCAGAGACAGAGCCUGUGGAAACCAACAGACAUCAGUCAGAAAGCCAACCCCACAGAGCACCUCUGCUGCCUUGGACUGCUGUGGCCAAAUAUUUGCUGGGUGGACUUGGUUUCAACUCCCCAGAAUAGGAAGGGAAAAAAAAAGGCAACAGAUAGGUAAGAAGGGCUCCAUUUCUUUGCUGAUCCUCUUCAUCCCUUCAGUUUCAACAGGAGCAG